GACGAACGCUGGCGGCGUGCUUAACACAUGCAAGUCGAACGGUGAAGCGCCUUCCUUUUUGGUGGGUGUGGAUGAGUGGCGAACGGGUGGGUAACACGUGAGUAACCUGCCCCCUUCUUCUGGAUAACCGCAUGAAAGUGUGGCUAAUACGGGAUAUUCUGGGUCUGUCGCAUGGUGGGUCUGGGAAAGAUAUUGUUUCGGUGGGGGAUGGGCUCGCGGCCUAUCAGCUUGUUGGUGGGGUGAUGGCCUACCAAGGCGGUGACGGGUAGCUGGCCUGAGAGGGUGGACGGUCACACUGGGACUGAGACACGGCCCAGACUCCUACGGGAGGCAGCAGUGGGGAAUAUUGCACAAUGGGCGCAAGCCUGAUGCAGCGACGCCGCGUGAGGGAUGGAGGCCUUCGGGUUGUGAACCUCUUUCGCCAGUGAAGCAGGCCUGCCUCGUUUGUGGGUGGGUUGACGGUAGCUGGAUAAGAAGCGCCGGCUAACUACGUG
rnacentral:rRNA from 1 species